CUUCGAUAACACAAUUCCACUUACUACAAACAUUAUUUCAUUGUCUUAAGCAACGAGUAUAACAGUUGACACAUCUUAAGACUCUUCUCACACUUCGUACAGUUCAAAGAUCUCUUAUUGAAGUAUAACUGGUAUAAAAACCAGUUUCGAUCAACAACAACGAAUAAUAAAAGGCAAGGAGAACCCUAUCGGACAACUUUAACAUCUCACAUCUUUACUUUAUACUUAUGGUAUAUCAACGUGAUGCAGUUCUUGCUCUCACUUUAUCCUUGAGGUAAAAUGCCAAGAGAUGGUCGAUACUUCAAUAGUUCUCCAAUGACCGCAGUGUGGCCUUUAUGAGCAGCUUUAAAAAGUGGUGUUGCUCCGUCCUAAGUAAAUAUAAAAAUAGCCAGCGUUCAUUGACACAACUCAUGUGGUAUAAAUUACAAGAUGAAAAAGUGGAUCUGAUGAUGAUAGCUUACGUGUCU